UGGGGUUUGCUAAGGACUCUGGAAGACAGGUUAUCUCUUCUUGUGAGCCCUGAGGACCAUAUGAACUUGGAGCUGCCAGAGGCCAUCUUUCCCUACCUGGGAAUGAAACAAGGUGAUAAAAUGGACAUUCAGAGUUUGGGAAGUCACAACCCCAAGUCCCAGAGCUAGAAAACAGAGGUGGAGUAUAAGGCAGCCUGAAGUUCAAGCCCACAGAUAGACGGAAAAGAGUGAGUGCCCACAGAACCCCAGAGCACAUGGAAUCUACAGUCACCAGGCCGCAUGAGGAUUCUAGGCCACCAGCUCUAGUUUCACAAACAAGUGGAUGAUGCAUCAUGAACCUCAGGAGGUGGCUGUGAACUGUUUUAAAUGCCAGGAUGUCAUCCGGAUGGGAGACUGGGGCUUGACGUUUGUCAUGUCCCUGUAGCACGUGUU